CUGCUGGAGCCGGGGGGCCCGGGCCGCGACCUCGGGUCCCCAGAGCGGGGCUGGCGAGGAGGGAAGUCGGGUCCGGGACGCCCCAGGCCCCUGGCGCUCCUGCCCGGGGUCUCCCAGGUCCCUGUCACCUGUCGGUGCCUCUGGUCCAUGGCUGUGGAGUGGCCGCUCUGGCCACUCACCCCGGUUCCCAGGGACUCCUGGCACUUUGUGAAGACCUUCGUACGAAGCCGGAGAGAGAGGUUAUGUUUCUAGCCAGCCCACGCCGCUCUCAACUACUUCUCCAGCACCAUGUCUGCUAGGCCUGCUUGUACAUUCAUGCUCCUCACCACGAUAAUAAUGGACUAAACGGACACUGUACACAAGCCAUCAAUUAAACGCUUUCUUUUAUAAGAAUCGCCCUGGCCGCGGUGUCUCCCACAGCAGAACAGUGACUGAGACACCAUUGAAGCUGGCACAGAGGGCAGACGCGUGGCCAGCGAGCAGCUGCGUAGUGAGGAGGGGGCUUUACAGAAACAAAGCCCAGGGUGUUGAGGGAAGCAUGCUUAGGAAGAGAUAGAAAGAAGAAACGGAAAAGUAGCACUUUUCUGAAAAGCAGGCUGACUGACUAGCUGCACAGCUGCAGCCCUGCACAGGGGAUGAGGAUUCUAGAGGGAAAGGGGAUCUCACUGAAGAACUAGAUACCCCAUUUGUCUCUAGUUUGACUUAAGGUGAGCCCAGCUUUCUAGGGUAGCCCCUUACCCAAGUGAAGAGCCCAGUCCAACCGGAACAUUAGGUCUCCAGGCCUAAAAGUACUUUGUCUUGAUGGGGAGCUUUUUACUCUAACACUGCAAUAGGCACCCAGCUUACCCACUAAAAGACGAGACAAGAAAGCAAGACAUGAGAAAUAGCCAGUCAUCCUCCACGACCUGUGUCCUGGCUGUUCUGAGACUGGCAGGCCCAUUUGACCUCACAAAAUGCAACUCCAUUAUCCUUUAGAUCACAACAGUAAUUAGAGAGCCAACUUCUCUCUGGCUCGUUCUUUAUUCCCUCAGAAAUAGUCUAGCUGUAAGAUCCCAGUCUGCAGAGCACCACAACAAGGCAAAGAAUAGUCCCUUUGGUUCAGGCUUGGGUGCUUUAAAGAAAAAAAAAAAGUAACCUUAGAAAAACAAACUAAACUGAUAAACAAUAAUUCCAUAAAAUAUGAACAUGGUAUAAAAUUUACUUGGAGUUAUACAAUUCAUGUGCUUAAGAUGGGAGAGCUAUACUUUAAACCUACAUCUCGGCGUUGGUGGAAGCAGUAUCUAUAGGAACUCUUUGUCUUUGUCAAACAGCCUGAAGCACAAAGAAAUGCAAAUUAUGUUUAGGAACUGUGGAAGGGACAGCCCUUGACUAUAACAGACUUCUAAGCCUUUGUGAACACUCAACUUCGUCCAUUCAAGCCAGGCUAACAUGUUAAUAAAAUAUAUGUCCUGCAGUGAGAGGAUUGUGGCCUUCUCUUUUUAAAUUUUUUAUCAUUUAUUACUGUUUUCACAAUAAAACUUUGGUGCACUCAG